rnacentral:rRNA from 1 species
UACGUAGGUGGCAAGCGUUGUCCGGAAUUAUUGGGCGUAAAGCGCGCGCAGACGGUCCUUUAAGUCUGAUGUGAAAGCCCACGGCUCAACCGUGGAGGGUCAUUGGAGACUGGAGGACUUGAGUACAGAAGAGGAAAGUGGAAUUCCACGUGUAGCGGUGAAAUGCGUAGAGAUGUGGAGGAACACCAGUGGCGAAGGCGACUUUCUGGUCUGUAACUGACGUUGAGGCGCGAAAGCGUGGGGAGCAAACAGG